ACACGUCAUCUCUCAUCUACUCACUCUGUCUCAGAGUGAGUAGAUGAGAGAUGAUGUGUA
rnacentral:pre_miRNA from 1 species